rnacentral:rRNA from 1 species
UACGUAGGGAGCAAGCGUUGUCCGGAAUCAUUGGGCGUAAAGCGCGCGUAGGCGGCCCUGUAAGUCCGUUGUUAAAGUCAAAGGCUCAACCUUUGAAAGCCGAUGGAUACUGCAGGGCUAGAGUCCGGAAGAGGCGAGUGGAAUUCCUGGUGUAGCGGUGGAAUGCGCAGAUAUCAGGAGGAACACCGGUGGCGAAGGCGGAUCUCUGGGCCUUACCUGACGCUGAGGCGCGAAAGCUAGGGGAGCGAACAGG